CUUUAUCCUAUUUGUUGCACAACAUUUACUAGAGAUAAAUAUAGUGCAGGUAGACCUUGCAUUUGCUUCUGAUGAUACCCUUCAGAACUGACCUUCAGUUCUCCUGUAAUCUCAUUGCAGGGUCUUACUUGGGCAGAAGUUACAAAAUUGUACUAAAUUAUACUGAGCUGUGGUGGUCUGGAGAUAACAAGAAUCUAAAUGAAUAUUCAAAAUACUACUGGAUGUGACCAUGAGUAACCUGAUUUAACUUCGGCAUUAGCCUUGGUUUGAGUGAGAGAAUGGAGCAGAGCCAAUGACCCCCAGAAGUCCAUUCCCACUUGAAUUAUGCUAUGAUUCUAUAUGGAGACCUCUAUCUCUUGGGUCCUUGGAAGUCACUGUGGUUUACCAGUGAUCUAUGAUGGCCCAAAGAGACUUAAAAGGAUGCUGCGAUGCCAGGGAGACUUUUGAGAGGGAAGAUUCAUUUAGCAUCUGGACAGCAACUCUUCCAAGAAGAGAAGUGGGACACCGGGAGCAGCUGAAUUAUUCUGUGUAUGAGGAAGCUUAUUUGGGAGACAUCACCUACUGCUCCCUCUGUAUUAUUUUCCUGACUGUGCAAACACUGGGCAUUUGUGCAGAGAGCAAACCUCUACCACUGCAUGGCAACUCAGUGCAGUCCAGUGUGUUCCUGAAUACAUCAGCUGAGCUGUAAGAAUGUACAAGAUCUUUUCAGUGCCAGUGGGAAUGACUGGGAGUAAAUGAAGACAGAAUAUCACCCACAGUCUCAGUAGGAGAUUGCGUCCCACACUGACACGUGUGCUUGGAUAUUCAGAAGAAAUUAUAUGCACCGAAAAUACAACACAUUGUGUCACAGAACCUGGUAAUUGUGAAGAAAAAAAAUCAUUAAGAGCCAAGUUAUAUGCUACACCAGUAAGUAUAGUUUCUGUUGACAUCAUAUUCAUCCCUAGCAGCAGGAACCUUCAGUGUUACAUUUCAUAACUGUGUUUUGCUAAUGAGUUUUAUGAAAAUGGUAUUUGCAAAGAACUGCAUAUUUCACAACAUGCAGU